AGGUCGGGGCUGUCAGCAUCCAGCCAGUAAUCAUACUCCAUACCCCAGCCGUCAAAGUGGAUCUGCAGGGGAGGAGCCUGGUUAGACUGCACACACACACGCACACAUACACACACGCACGUACACAUACACACACAAAAGUACGCACACAUACACACACGCAGGGUGUGAGGAGCUCAUACAGGUGUGCAGGGUGUGGUGAGCUCAUACAGGUGUGCAGGGUGUGGUGAGCUCAUACAGGUGUGCAGGGUGUGGUGAGCUCAUACAGGUGUGCAGGGUGUGGUGACAUACAGGUGUGCAGGGUGUGGUGAGCUCAUACAGGUGUGCAGGGUGUGAGGAGCUCAUACAGGUGUGCAGGGUGUGGUGAGCUCAUACAGGUGUGCAGGGUGUGAGGAGCUCAUACAGGUGUGCAGGGUGUGAGGAGCUCAUACAAGUGUGCAGGAUGUGAUGAGCAGGUGUGCAGGGUGUGGUUAGCUCAUACAGGUGUGCAGGGUGUGAGGAGCUCAUACAGGUGUGCAGGGUGUGGUGAGCAGGUGCGCAGGGUGUGGUUAGCUCAUACAGGUGUUCAGGGUGUGGUGAGCAGGUGCGCAGGGUGUGGUUAGCUCAUACAGGUGUGCAGGUGAGAAAGGCAGGUGUGUGCGGGUGGGGCACCUUUAGCCGGUGCUCCUCCACCUCCGCGAUGCUGGCCACCCUGAUGAGCAUGGCGUUCCUCUUAUCCACCGC